UGGGGUUAAAGUGGCCUCUGCAUGCACCUCUCUGCCUACAGCAUUUUAAGGAGUCUCAGGAAAAGCAUGGAAGAUCAGGCUCCACAUCACCAUACGACUACCCACCACCAGUGUCAUCAGCAUCAGACCAGGGAGUUAUUUACACAGUUUGCAUGUCUUUCUGGAAAUGAAAGAAUUGAUUUUUGCCUUGCCACGCAGACUCCAUGUCAGUGUAAAUCCACUGAAGACAAUUGCCAUUGUCAAACACAUCCUGGUCUUGUCUCAGUUGUGUCCCAGUGCUGA
rnacentral:lncRNA from 1 species